rnacentral:rRNA from 1 species
CCGGGCGACCGGCGCACGGGUGAGUAACACGUAUGCAACCUGGCCGUGACAGAUGGAUAACCGGGAGAAAUCCCGCCUAAUACAACAUAAUGCCGGGAGGGGACAUCCCCUGCCGGCCAAAGGGGGCGACCCCGGUCACGGAUGGGCAUGCGGCGCAUUAGUUAGUUGGCGGUGUAACGGACCACCAAGACGACGAUGCGUAGGGGUUCUGAGAGGAAGGUCCCCCACACUGGUACUGAGACACGGACCAGACUCCUACGGAAGGCAGCAG